GUAGGUGGCAAGCGUUGUCCGGGAAUUAUUGGGGCGUAAAGCGCGCGCAGGCGGUUCUUUAAGUCUGAUGUGAAAGCCCACGGGCUCAACCGUGGAGGGUCAUUGGAAACUGGAGAACUUGAGUACAGAAGAGGAAAGCGGAAUUCCACGUGUAGCGGUGAAAUGCGUAGAGAUGUGGAGGAACACCAGUGGCGAAGGCGGCUUUCUGGUCUGUAACUGACGCUGAGGCGCGAAAGCGUGGGGAGCAAACAAGAUUAGAUACCCUGGUAGUCCACGCCGUAAACGAUGAGUGCUAAGUGUUAGGGGGUUUCCGCCCCUUAGUGCUGCAGCUAACGCAUUAAGCACUCCGCCUGGGGAGUACGGCCGCAAAGGCUGA
rnacentral:rRNA from 1 species